AUACGGAGGGUCCAAGCGUUAUCCGGAAUCAUUGGGUUUAAAGGGUCCGCAGGCGGUCAAUUAAGUCAGAGGUGAAAGCCCAUCGCUCAACGAUGGAACUGCCUUUGAUACUGGUUGACUUGAGUUAUACGGAAGUAGAUAGAAUAAGUAGUGUAGCGGUGAAAUGCAUAGAUAUUACUUAGAAUACCGAUUGCGAAGGCAGUCUACUACGUAUAUACUGACGCUGAGGGACGAAAGCGUGGGGAGCGAACAGAAUUAGAAACCCUUGUAGUCC
rnacentral:rRNA from 1 species